rnacentral:rRNA from 1 species
UCUGGGAAACUGCCUGAUGGAGGGGGAUAACUACUGGAAACGGUAGCUAAUACCGCAUAACGUCGCAAGACCAAAGAGGGGGACCUUCGGGCCUCUUGCCAUCGGAUGUGCCCAGAUGGGAUUAGCUGGUAGGUGGGGUAACGGCUCACCUAGGCGACGAUCCCUAGCUGGUCUGAGAGGAUGACCAGCCACACUGGAACUGAGACACGGUCCAGACUCCUACGGGAGGCAGCAGUGGGGAAUAUUGCACAAUGG